CAUUCUUUCUUCUUCAACCGUAGGAAAGAACUGAAAAUGGCAGCCAUGGAUGAGCUCCAUUCAGCCAAGCUUCUAUGGCUUAUAUAGAUGAUGAAAAUUGAGACUUGGACCUAGAACGGAAAGAAAUCGAUUUAUGGACGAGUAUGUCCUUUUCACAUUUGUGGUAUCGAGAGUUCCAGGUUAGCUCGGGUUGGAAGCCGUCAGAGAUAUUAUCACCCUAUCGAGUUAACGUUAUCGGAGUAAGUAAACUCAAGUGAUUCGAGUCUAUGGCAUGUAUAAGGUUUUAAUGUGAGUAUGUAAUAUUAUGAUUUAGCCAAAGGCAUUGGCUUGUUAUUAAGGUAGUAUUAGUCAUGUAAAUUAGCCUAUGUCGGCUAAUGACGUUAUGGGCCCAUAUGAUUAUUCUUAUGCAUUUAUGUUAUUAUUUCUUGUGAUGUGGCUUACAA